UAUAAGUUGAACGCAUAUUGCGCAUCGUGCGACACAGCAUGAUGCACACAUUUUUGAGUGCCUAUAUUUAUACUAUCAUU
rnacentral:rRNA from 1 species